CAGUAGCCACGGUAAUACGAAGGGGGCUAGCGUUGUUCGGAUUUACUGGGCGUACAGCGCACGUAGGCGGAUUUUUAAGUCAGGGGUGAAAUCCCAAGGCUCAACCUUGGAACUGCCUUUGAUACUGGGGAUCUUGAGUCCGGGAGAGGUGAGUGGAACUGCGAGUGUAGAGGUGAAAUUCGUAGAUAUUCGCAAGAACACCAGUGGCGAAGGCGGCUCACUGGCCCGGAACUGACGCUGAGGUGCGAAAGCGUGGGGAGCAAACAGGAUUAGAUACCCCAGUAGUCCCUGUCUCUUAUAC
rnacentral:rRNA from 1 species